rnacentral:lncRNA from 1 species
AGAUACACGUGUAGAAACAUACACACACGUAAUGUACACAUAUGUAUAGUGCACAUAUGCACGCACUUGUACACACAUUUAGGCAUACACAUGCAUAUGUAGAUGCAUGUGUACAUGCAUGUAUACAUCUACACAUGCACAGACACACAUACAUGUACACAUGCAUACUGUGUACAUAAUACAUGUAUACAGAUACAUGUGCGCAUGCACGUGUACACACAUGCAUGCAUACACACAUGCAUUUGUAGAUAUAUGUGUAGGUGUGUACACACAACAUACACAUAUGCAUCCACACAUACACAUAUACAUAUGAGGUGGCACGUUCAGCUUUCAAGAGGACCAUCAGGGACUUUGUCACCUUGACAACUUUAGCCUUGCCUUCUAGUCACCUUGCCGGAACACUUGUGCCCGUGUUUUUCUAGCACUGUCAUAAGAAUACUUUUACCUAUCAAGGCAACUGGGGGUUAGGAGAGCUUUUUGCACAGGAGGCUACUUGGCUUUGUUUGAAAACUGAUGAUACAUGAGGAUUGGGGUGGUGAAUCACUCACAUGUUUCUUCAUAUGAAAAAUGAGGACUGUGGGAUUCUCUGGCUGGAUCUCAGCACCUAGAAAUGGAUCUGGGCAAUAGGAACUGCUCAGUAUUAGCUACCGCUUUGGUUGCCUUCUCCUUGCGGAAAGCUGGCCUCUCACACUGAAUUUGUAUCAUAGGCACUCAUGAGGGUCUUGACUGUAUCAAUAUCUGAUGAGAGAUUUUAGUGCAGUUCUGUUAUCGUGGCUGAUUUGCUCAUUUGGUAGCUAGCAUCCAGCUUCUUGUGAACAUUAAAAUAAAAUAAAAUAGAUUAUGGAGGAAUAGAAUACAGAUACGUAGUAAGGUAUUAUUUUCCAGACAAAAUGGAUUUGGAUAAAAGAAUCUAAUUAAGAACUUGUGCAUGAUUCUUUUAAAAUUCUUUUGAAUCCAUUUUUUUUUUUUUGGCCUGUUUUCAAGUCUCCGAUUUUUGUCACCCUUCUCACACCAGGUCAGAGAGAUAGCUAAUGGUCAGAAGGAAUCUUCCAGCAAUGACCAUAGCGCUUUCUCCUGCCUGCAGAUGCCUCUUUUUAUUCAGCCUUUAUGGGAAGUAGCAGCACCAUCCAGUUCUCAGAGAGCAAGCUCUGGAGUAACUGAGCUAACCCCAGUUACCCCAGUGGAUUUACAGAUUGAGGUUACAACCCAGCAGGGUUCUCUUCCUGGAAAGAAUAGCCUUCCCUCUAAGGUUUCAAAUAGACCCUGGGUGAGGAAGGAGCCCUAAACAGCUUGAAAAAUUGAAUGCUCUUUGGGCAAAGCAGGAAGCCGUCCUAUGGAAGAGCAUCAUUUGAGCAUAAAUCAGGUUAUCAGGACAAACAGAGUGUUCAGGAGGUCAAGAUGGUUAAGCAGAGACCCUGACCAGAAUGUCCGUGGCGGAGAGAAACAAUCUUGUUGGGAAAAGGAUGACAAUAAUUGGGGACUUAGAAUAAAGGCUAAAAAUGAUUCAAAGAGAAUGCAAAAAGAAUCAGGCACAAAUCGUUUACUAUACUCUGUUAUGCAAAUCUCACCUUACUAUGUGUUUGUAUUCUAUUCCUCCACAAUCUUUAUUUUAUUUUAAUGUUCAAAGAGACUUGUAGGUGCCAAUUAAAUGAACAAAACAGCCAGAGACAACAGAACUGCCCUAAAAAAAGUCCCGCAUCAGCUCUUGAGAGCAGGUUCCUUAAAGGUGAACAAUAUUCCACAUACAAGGACUUUUUCAGCACCAUGCAUUAGAAAUGGAAGUGAAUGUUUAUUAUUUUUUGUAUAAGUUGGUUGAUAUGGCUUUUCAGCUUCCCUCAGUAUCAUUAUCCAAAUUUUGUAGAUGACACUAAAGCUCAGAGGAGUUAAACCAUUUUCCUUAAAUCACAUAGCUUUAAAUAGGAAAACCAGAUAUGAAAAGCAGAUUUUUUUUCUAAAUUAAAAAACCAAAAACAAAAACACGUGAGCUCUUGCUUUACCCUAGCACAUAGUCUUGCCAUCUGUUUUCUCCACACCAGGUGAUUCCUGUAACAUUCAUUCACAUAACAAAUACAAAUAAAUGAGUGGAUUCAUUCAUCAGAUAUUAAUUCAGAAUCCCUUUUGUGCCUUCCAGAAAUCUGGACCAUCUCACAACCCCCAGAGAGUCUCAGCUACAAGGAACAAGUGAUAAUGCCAUCCCACUUUUAUAAACACACACACACACACAUGCAAUACACACACAAUCAUUUAAUCAUUUUUAAUUAUUUAAUUAUUUUUUAAAAAUCAGUGACACUUUAGCUGGGCAGGUCUAGAUAGGUCUUCUUUGCUGGGACGUGUCUUUUUCUGUCCUGGAAUACCCUAAACUUCACAUUUUGGCAGCGUGAGUUUUCCCUUUGUGACUUUCUCCUUCUUCCCUUUUUUCCUCCUUCUUUGCAGAGAAUGAGUAGCCACUGCACCUUGCCCUGCGCCAUCAAUGAGAAGAUCUGCUCUUAGUAGAGCCCUGCUUUCCCGCUGAAGGCCCUGAAAUCACCUGUGUUCCAGGCCACCCACUAAGGAUAAACAAAGCUUCCCUGAUAUGGGGAAUUAGCUCAAGUGGUAGAGCGCUUGCUUAGCAUGCAAGAGGUAGUGGGAUCAAUGCCCACAUUCUCCAAGCUUUAUUAUUUAGGUACCCAAACCCGAGUCAGUGUCUGAGAGCAAGACACUGCUCUCGGUGUCUUUGGUUCAAGACAUAGGAGCAGCAACAAUACAGGACUGGUGACAGCUUCCUGCUGGCAUUCAGUAUAGUGUAGAUCUACUGUGUAAUUAAUUUUCUGUUUCUUCGAGGAGCUGUGAAACCAAAGGACAUAUAAAACUGCUCUUUUCUCCCUGUUUCUGCCUGCAGCUUGGUCCUAAAUGUGAGACAAUUGUGAAAAGUGGAGGACAGAGCCACCUGGUUAAAUACAGCCCCAGCUUUCUGGUGAGAGGACUGAAACCAAGAUGUGUCAAGUAACUAGAAUGUGCCUGGACAGAUACUGUAGAAAGCAAAACCAUAAAGUUGUUCAUGAGCUUGUGGACGCACCUGCCAGCUGUGAAUAAGUGGCUCUAAUCCCGAACAACUUACCUAAAAAGAGCCUGAGAGCUGAACUGUGCAAUGGCCCACUUUCCAGUCCUCACUGACCACUGGGUUGCACACACUUUGGAGAUCUCUGAACAGCAGUGUCAAGGCUUUCAAAUAGAGUUAUCUUUGAAACGACAACACAUGAAAGUCUGGUUGGUACUUGGAGCUUAAAUACAAGGCAAUUGUGUGCCUGCAAAAACAAAAAUAGCAAUAUUAUCCUUAAGAUUUCAACAAGACACAGUGUCUCAUCACAUAAUCCAAAGAAGUCCAGGUUACAAGCCCCACAAUAUUCAGCAUUAUGAAAAAACAGGGAGAUCUUAAUUCACAUGGCAAAGAGAAUCCUCGAAUAACAAUAUUGAGAGGACACAGAUGUCAAAAUCAUCUGACACAUACAUUAAAGCAGAUAUUAUAACAAUGCUCCUAGAAUCGGGGAUAACAUUCGUGAAGUGAAUGGAAAGUUGGAAAGUCUCACCAAAUAUUUCGAAUACAUAAACACCAAUUUAAACUUAAGAAUUAAAAAAAUGUAUUAACCAAAACUCUUAGGGGAAAUAAAAAGCUUAAUUGGAGGAUCUCCAUAAUCGAAUGCAGAAGACUAAGGAAAAAGUCAAUGAACUUGAAAACAGAACACGAAUACCUACAUAAUCUGAACUAUAGAGAGAAAGGAGGAUUUUAUUGUCUCUGAACAGAGGCUCAGGCACAAAUAAAAAAUAACAAAUCCAACAUUCACAUUAUUGUAAUCUGGAAAGAAGAGGACAAAGUGGUCUUUGUGGGAUAAAACUUUGAACAAUUAAUAGCUGAAAAUGGUUCAAAUUUGUCAAAAGAUAUAAACCAGAUUUUUAAAGUUCAGUAAAUGUCAAUCAGGAUAAACCCAAAGAAACCCAUAGCAAGGCAUAUCAUAAUCAAACUGCUGAAAACUAAGAAAAUACAAAACAAUUUUGAAAGCAGCCAAAGGGAAAUGAAAGAGAAACUACCAAAUGAAUGAUUGUAGAUUUCGCAUCAGGAACCAUAGGGGCCAGAAAAAAUGUCAUAACAUUCGGUAAGUAACAAAAGAAAAAGACAUAUCGACCCAGAAUGCUAUGUGGAGCAAAAGUAUCUUCCAGACAUAAAGGCAAAUAAAUGCAUUCUCAGUGGAAGGUAAGUAAAUACAUUCUCAUUCUUAGGAAGACUGCUGGAAAAGAAUUAGCAAAGAUUUGAGAUAAGAAAAAUGAUACCAGAAGGAAACUUAGAACAUCAUCAGUGAAGGAACAAAAGCAGAAAUAGAACAUGUCUGGGUAGACAUAACAGACUAUUAUUCUUCCCUUGAGUUCCUUAAGGAGACUACGGAAAAGAAGAGUGACUAAGAUCUCUGAAGAAGGGAAAAGCUAGAUGACUGGGCCACAAGAGGAAAAAAAGCAGCAAGACAGAGAUUUGUUGGUGCCAACUAAAUGAGCCCAACAGCCAGUGACAACAGAACUGCACUAAAAAAAGUCCCUCAUCAGCUCUUGAGAGCAGGUUCCUUAAAGGUGAACAAUAUUCCACAUACAAGGACUUUUUCAGCACCAUGCAUUAGAAAUGGAAGUGAAUGUUUAUUAUUUUUUGUAUAAGUUGGUUGAUACGGCUUUUCAGCUUCCCUCAGUAUCAUUAUCCAAAUUUUGUAGAUGACACUAAAGCUCAGAGGAGUUAAACCAUUUUCCUCAAAUCACAUAGUUUUAAAUAGGAAAACCAGAUAUGAAAAGCAGAUUUUUUUCUAAAUUAAAAAAAAAAAAAAAACUUGAGCUCUUGCUUUACCCUAGCACAUAGUCUCACCAUCUGUUUUCUCCAUGCCAGGUCAUUCAUGUAACAUUCAUUCACAUAACAAAUACAAAUAAAUGAGUGGAUUCAUUCAUCAGCUAUUAAUUCAGAAUCUCUUUUGUGUCUACCACACUAGGCUCAAGACUUCCCAGUGUCUUUGUCUCCUCUCCCUCAAAUCUCUCCACCCAAUGUCUUGACAAAUACUGUAGAUCCUUCCUGCACAGCAUCACCAGAAUGUUUUUCUUUCUUUUCAUUCACCUCUGUCAUCAUCCAUGCUAUGGUGUUUAUGGAGGAUGUAUUCUGCAGCAGGAAGUGUGAUGGGCACUGACGCUGCAGAAAGACUCCUGUUGUCCACCUCGGGAGCUGACACGAUAAAUGCGGGUAAAUCUCAAUCCUUUAAUAUCUUUAUGACUUCUUUCUCUUUCUCUUCAAUUUCUAUUUUCUCAUGUUCAAGCUCUGACAUUCAAAACUAAACACCUUUCUCUAACAUGUUGCUUUAAUUAUUUAAGCAUUCUGCCUGGGAUUUUUUCAAUUACUCUUGGGAGUUUUCAUAAAACUCUACCAACAUAUCUCCAAGUGGCCAGGCUUUUCAAUCACUGCUUCCCUCCGUGUGUAUUUCACACACACACACACACACACACACACACACAGCACUUAAAUUGAACAGGUUUAUUUCUUCACACAGGAAUUCCUACGAACAGCCCGGUUUUCUCCACCAUAUGUCCACUCCUUCUCUGCAUAGCUGAAUUUUGAUUCUUACACUCUAAUAUUUUACAUAUUCUUACACUCUGAUAUGAUCUUGUCUCUUAUUCUUUAUGGCUCUGCUCUGUAAUUUUGUUGUUGUUGUUCUGAGAUAUAGUUGGACAUGUAACUUGUACAUGACACACCUUAGCAAGGAGGCAACCUAUAUCUCAGAUGCAAGUGAAAGAAGCACUCCCCAGGGGUUUCCUAAGGUAGUGGUCAGCACGCUGGCUUCAUUCCUGAAAGGGCCUAGUUAUGAAAACAACAGGAGCUUUUUGCCUUCCAGAAAUCUGUACCAUCUCAAAAUCCCCAGAGAGUCUCAGCUACAAGGAACAAGUGAUAAUACUAUCUCACUUUUAUAAACACACACACACAACACACACACACAAAAUCAUUUAAUCAUUUUUAAUUAUUUAAUCAUUUUUUAAAAAUCAGUGACACUUUAGAUGGGCAGGUCUAGGCAGGGCCUCCUUUCCUGGAAUGUGCCUUUUUCUGUCCCGGAAUACCCUAAACUUGACAUUUUGGCAGUGUGAGUUUUCCCUUUUUGACUUUCUCCUUGUUCCCUUUCCUCUUCCUUCUUUGCAGAGAAUGAGUAGCCACUGCACCUUGCCCUGGGCCAUCAGUGAGAAGAUCUGCUCUUAGUAGAGCCCUGCUUUCCCGCUGAAGGCCCUGAAAUCCCCUGUGUUCCAGGCCACCCACUAAGGAUCAAUAAAGCUCCCCUGAUGUGGGGGAAUUAGCUCAAGUGGUAGAGCGCUUGCUUAGCAUGCAAGAGGUAGUGGGAUCGAUGCCCACAUUCUCCAAACUUUAUUAUUUAGACCCUGGGUCUCCAAACACUCAGGUCUCCAAACCCAAGUCAGAGAACAGGAUGCUGCUUUGGUUCAAGAUGUAGGAGCAGCAACAAUACAGGGCUGGUGACGGCUCCCUCCUGGCAUUCAGUAUAGUGUAGAUCUACCGUGUAAUUAAUUUUCUGCUUCUUUGAGGAGCUGUGAAACCAAGGGACAUAAACAAUUGCUCUUUUCUCCCUGUUUCUGCCUGUAGCUUGAAUGUGAGGCAACUGUGAAAAGUGCAGGGCAGAGCCACCUGGGUAAAUACAGCCCUGGCUUUCUGGUGAGAGGACUGAAACCAGGAUGUGUCAAGUAACUAGAAUGUGCCUGGACAGAUACUGUAGAAAGCAAACCCAUAAAGUUGUUCAUGAGCUUGUGGACGCACCUGCCAGCUGUGAAUAAGUGGGUCUAAUCCCAAACAACUUACCUAAAAAGAGCCUGAGGACUGAACUAAACAAUGGUCCACUUUCCAGUCCUCACUGACCACUGGUUGCACACACUCCAGAGAUCUCUCAUCCGCAGUGUCAAGGCUUUCAAAUAGAGUUAUCUGUGAAACAACAACACAUGGAAGUCUGGUUGGUACUUGGAGCUUAAAUACAAGGCAAUUGUGUGCCUGCAAAAACAAAAAGAGCAAUAUUAUCCUUAAGAUUUCAACAAGACACAGUGUCUCAUCACAUAAUCCAAAGAAGUCCAGGUUACAAGCCCCAAAAUAUUCAGCAUUAUGAAAAACCAGGGAGAUCUUAAUUCACAUGGCAAAGAGAAUCCUUGCAUAACAAUAUUGAGAGGACACAUAUGUCAAAAUCAUCUGACACAUACAUUAAAGCAGUUAUUAUAACAAUGCUCCUAGAAUUACGGGAUAGCAUUCAUGAAGUGAAUGGAAAGUUGGAAAGUCUCACCAAAUAUUUGGAAUAUGUAAACACCAAUUUAAACUUAAGAAUUAAAAAAAGUAUUAACCAAAACUAUUAGGGGAAAUAAAAAGCUUAAUUGGAUGAUCUCAAUAGCAGUAUGCAGAAGACUAAGGAAAAAGUCAAUGAACUUGAAAACGGAACAAGAAUACCUACAGAAUCUGACCUAUAGAAAGAAAGGAGGAUUUUAUUGUCCCUGAACAGAGGCUCAGGGACAAAUAAAAAAUAACAAAUCUAACAUUCACAUUAUUGUAAUCUGGAAACAUUCACAUUAUUGUAAGAGGACAAAGAGGUCUUUGUGGGAUAAAACUGUGAAGAAUUAAUGGCUGAAAAUGUAUCAAAUUUCUCAAAAGAUAUAAACCAGAUUUUUAAAGUUCAGUAAAUGUCAAGCAGGAUAAACCAAAAGAAACCCAUUGCAAGACAUAUCAUAAUCAAACUGCGGAAAAUUAAGAAAACACAAAACAAUUUUGAAAGCAGCCAAAGGGAAAUGAAAGAUAAAAUACCAAAUGAAUGAUUGUAGAUUUCUCAUCGGGAACCCAGGAGCCAGAAAAAAAUGUCAUAACAUUCAGUAAAUACCAAAGGAAAAAUACAUUAUCAACCCAGAAUGGUAUGUGGAGCAAAAGUAUCUUCCAGACAUAAAGGCAAAUAAAUGCAUUCUCAUUGGAAGGUAAAUAAAUACAUUCUCAGUCCUAGCAAAACUGCUGGAAAAGAAUUAGCAAAGGUUUGAGAUAAGAAAAGUGAUACCAGAAGGAAACUUAGAACAUCAUCAAUGAAGGAACAAAAGCAGAAAUAGAAAAUGUCUGGGUAGACAUAACAGACUAUUAUUCUUCUCUUGAGUUCCUUAAGGUAUGUUUGAUGGUUGAAAGCAAAAAUUGUAACUUUAUCUGAUGCAGUUGUCAUUGUAUCUAGAUGUACUACAUACAUAAGAUAAAAGGGUAAAUGUAAUGGGACUAACUCUUGAUGAAGUUUCUAUAUUCAACUUGAAUGGUAAAAUAUUGAUUCUUAGUAUACUGUGAAAAGUUAUAUAUGUAUAUGGUAAUCCCUAGACCACUUAACAACCAGAUUGAAAUAAACCAAAACAAGAUAGACAGAGGAACAUAGAAGAAUUAAAACAAAGGGAAAAAAGGUUAAUAAAUUAUUAAAUAGUAGAUCUAUCUAAAAACUUAUCUAUAAUAACAUUAUAUGUAAAUUAUCUAAAUGCAUUAAGUAAAAACUAGAGAUCAUCAGAAUGUGUUAAAAAUAAAUAUGCUGACUAAAGAAAGCCACCUGCAAUACACUUAUAAAUAAGAAUAAAAGUUAUAGAGCAGAUUGAAAGAAAAGAGUGGGAAAAGAUACCUCAUGCAAGCAUUAAUCAAAGACAGCUGUGGUGUAUAUAUAUAAAAUCAGACAAAGUAGAUUUGAAAGCAGAGAAACUUUUCAGGAAUAAUGAGGCCUCCUAAAUAAUUAUGAUUGUCAAUUUUUCAGGAGAAUAUUGUCCCAAAUGUAUAUGAGGACACAGAGCUUCAAAACUCAUAAACAAAAUUGGAUACGCCAAGUAAAAAUAGAAAAAUCCAGUUAUAGUUGCAGUCAUUAACACUCCUCUCUGAGUAAUUGGAAGAUUUAGUGGAACACAAAUCAACAGACAUACUGGAGAAUUGAACCAUGCCAUCCAGUAAUGGACCUAUCAAUUUCAUAAUGCAAAAUAAAAAUUCAGGUAGAAAGCAAAGACAAAAAUUAAAAGAAAAGCAAGAUCAUGUUAUAAUGAGAAAAUUAAGAGUAGUCCAGUGUAUAGAAGGGUGCUAUUAUUGAAAGAGUUUGAAAUAGUGACUUAGUUAUUUUGAAACAUUUUUGAAGACGUUAUUUAGCUGGAAAUGACAGAAAGACUGAAAAUGGUGAAUGUGGAGGUGGAUCUUCCCUUGUCCAUAUUUAUCUUGUCUUCGUUUGAGGUCUGGGGUGUCUAUACUUCCUCUGAAUUACCUGAUCUUACUACAGUGUCUGGCACAGAGCAUCUCCCCAGUGAAUAUGUACUAAAUGAGUAGAAAGUAAUUGAUAGAUUCAAAAGAGUUGUGCAAGAAUAAUGUUCAUUAUUUGACUAAUCACUGAAUGUGGUGUUUCAAGGAAGACAAUGAAUCAAAGUUGACUUGAAAGGUAAGCCCAGGGCCAGACGUGGUGGCUCAUUUCUGUAAUCCCAGCACUUUGGGAGGCCGAGAUCAGUGGAUCCCUUGACACCAGGAGUUUGAGACCAGCCUAGGCAACACAGUGAAAACCUGUCUCUACAACAAAUACAAAAAUUAGCCGGGUGUGGUGGUAUGCAUCUGUAGUUCCAGCUACUCAGGAGGCUGAGGUGGGAGGAUCGCUUGAACUCAGGAGGUGGAGGUUGCAGUGAACAGAGAACGCACCGGUACCUGGACAACAAAGUGAGACCCUGUCAUAAAAUAAAAUAGUUAAACCCAGGCCAGGAGGGGUGGCUCAUGCCUGUAAUCCCAGCACUUUGGAAGGCCAAGGUAGGCUGAUCACGUGACGUCAGGAGGUUGAGACCAGCCUGGCCAACAUGGUGAAACCCCGUCUCUACUAAAAAUACAAAAAUUAACCAAGCGUGGUGGCAGGCACCUGUAGUCCCAGCUACUCUGGAGGCUGAGACAGGAGAAUUACUAGAACCCGGGAGGCAGAGGUUGCAGUGAGCCAAGAUCUUACCAUUGCACUGCAGCCUGGGCGACAGAGUGACACUCUGUCGAAAAAAAAAAAAAAAAAAAAGUUAAGCCCAAAAAGUAAGUAAGGAAGAGGUUUGGAAUUAGAUAUUUGUUGUAUGAAUGAGUGAGCUAAAGUGCAAAAGAACGGGCAGAAUAACUGAGCUGGUACAGAGGGAAAAAAUCACAUUUAAAAUCUAAAAAUAUCUGCUUCUUAGUUCAGGCUUUCCCACUUAGCAGCUUUGGCACCUUAGGAACACUUAACUUAUCUGAGCCUCUAUUACUUCUAAAAAGUGCAUAAAGUGCAGACUAAGACAGUUUUUUUGGCAAAAUUCAGUCAGACUACAUCAAGUAAACUCCCUAAGUCUCCUAGUAUAAUUCAUGGCACAAAAAAUUGGGGAAAAAACAGGGAGGAUAUGAUUAUAAGUUCAGUUUAUGUUUUUUGUUGAGUGAAUGUCUCCAGUCAUAGAGAUGCAAGUGUAGAUACACAGUAAGAGUAGUAUGAAUGGGAGACACCUUGGAAGGCUAUUUCUUCCUUCCUUCAUUCAGUUGGUCACUCAGUGAACUAUCAUGAAUUGAGCACCGCCUCUGUUUCUUAUCAACAAAGGAGACUGCGGAAAAGAAGAGUGACUAAGAUCUCUGAAGAAGGGAAAAGCUAGAUGACUGGGCCACAAGAGGAAAAAAAGCAGCAAGACAGUUACAAUUGUUUCUGGUCCCACUUUUAUAAACACACACACACACACACACACACACACACACACACACAAAAUCAUUUAAUCAUUUUUAAGUAUUUAAUCAUUUUUUAAAAAUCUGUGAUGCUUUACCUGGGCAUGUCUAGGCAGGUCCUCCUUUGCUAGGACGUGCCCUUUUCUGUCCCGGAAUACUCUAAACUUGGCAUUUUGGCAGCGUGAAGUUUUCCCGUUGUGACUUUCUCCUUGUUCCCUUUUCUCCUCCUUCUUUGCAGACAAUGAGUAGCCACUGCUGUUUGCCCUGGCCCAUCAAUGAGAAGAUCUGCUCUUAGAGCCCUGCUUUCCUGCUGAAGGCCCUGAAAUCACCUGUGUUCCAGGCCACCUGCUAACAAUAAAUAAUGCUGCCCUGAUGUGGGGAAUUAGCUCAAGUGGUAGAGCGCUUGCUUAGCACGCAAGAGGUAGUGGGAUCGAUGCCCACAUUCUCCAAGCUUUAUUAUUUAGACAUCGUGUCUCCAAACACUCAGGUCUCCAAACCCAAGUUAGUGUCUGAGAACAGGAUGCUGCUUUGGUUCAAGACGUAGGAGCAGCAAUAAUAGAGGGCUGGUGAUGGCUCCCUCUUGGCAUUCAGUAUAGUGUAGAUCUACCAUGUAAUUAAUUCUCUGUUUCUUUGAGGAGCUGUGAAACCAAGGGACAUAUACAACUGCUCUUUUCUCCCUGUUUCUACCUGCAGCUUUGUCCUAAAUGUGAGACAAUUAUGAAAAGUGCAGCGCAGAGCCACUUGGGUAAAUACAGCCCCGGCUUUCUGCUCAGGGGACAGAGUUUGAGGCACUGCAGAGGAACCGGCCAAAGUAUGAGACCCAUAUAUUGAGAGUAACAGAGUGUAAAGUUCAAAAAAAUCAAAAUAUUUAAAGAUUUAUCAUGGGUCUUGAUGACAUGAUGGAAUCUCUCUACUCUCUGGACUUAUUAUGUGUGGUAAUAAAUUUACUUUUUAAAAGCCA